AAGGGAGGCAGCAGUGGGGAAUCUUGCCAAUGGACGAAAGUCUGAUGCAGCAACGCCGCGUGGGGGAUGAAGCUUUCGGAGUGUAAACCCCUUUCGACCCGGAAGAAAGCCCGCAAGGGUUUGACGGUACGGGUAUAAGAAGCCCCGGGUAACUACGUGCCAGCAGCCGCGGUAAAACGUAGGGGGCCAGGCGUUGCCUCGGAAUUACUGGGCGUAAAGGGUCCGUAGGCGGUGUGGCAAGUCGGUCAGUGAAAUCUCUGGGGUAAACCCAGAGGCUGCUGCGAAACUGCCGU
rnacentral:rRNA from 1 species